rnacentral:rRNA from 1 species
UACGGGGGGGCAAGCGUUGUUCGGAAUUACUGGGCGUAAAGGGCGCGUAGGCGGUUCGCUAAGUUGGAUGUGAAACUCUGGGCUCAACCCAGAGCCUGCAUCCAAAACUGGCGGGCUAGAGUUCUGGAGGGGGUAGCGGAAUUCCUGGUGUAGCGGUGAAAUGCGUAGAUAUCAGGAGGAACACCGGUGGCGAAGGCGGCUACCUGGACAGAAACUGACGCUGAGGCGCGAAAGCUAGGGGAGCAAACAGG